GUGGGGAAUAUUGGGCAAUGGGCGAAAGCCUGACCCAGCAACGCCGCGUGAAGGAAGAAGGUUUUCGGAUUGUAAACUUCUGUCCUCAGGGAAGAAGAAAGUGACGGUACCUGAGGAGGAAGCCCCGGCUAACUACGUGCCAGCAGCCGCGGUAAUACGUAGGGGGCGAGCGUUGUCCGGAAUGACUGGGCGUAAAGGGCGCGUAGACGGCUGUCUAAGUCUGGAGUGAAAGUCCUGCUUUCAAGGUGGGAAUUGCUUUGGAGACUGGAUGGCUUGAGUGCGGAAGAGGUAAGUGGAAUUCCCAGUGUAGCGGUGAAAUGCGUAGAGAUUGGGAGGAACACCAGUGGCGAAGGCGACUUACUGGGCCGUAACUGACGUUGAUGCGCGAAAGCGUGGGGAGCGAACAGGAUUAGAAACCCGUGUAGUCC
rnacentral:rRNA from 1 species